rnacentral:rRNA from 1 species
GACGAACGCUGGCGGCGUGCUUAACACAUGCAAGUCGAACGAAGUGGCGAACGGGUGAGUAACGCGUAAUCAACCUGCACUUAAGAGGGGGAUAACAGUUGGAAACGACUGCUAAUACCGCAUACUGAAGGAGGGGAUUGCGGCGGAUUUGCUAGUUGGAGGGGUAACGGCCCACCAAGGCGAUGAGAAGUAACCGGUCCUAGAGGAGUAACGGCCACAUGGGGACUGCGACACGGCCCAGACUCCUACGGGAGUCAGCAGUGGGGAAUCUGCCGCAAUGGACGAAAGUCUGACGGAGCAACGCCGCGUGAGUGAUGACGGCCUUCGGGUUGUAAAGCUCUGUUAAUCGGGACGCGGUACCGGAAUAGAAAGCCACGGCUAACUACGUGCCAGCAGCCGCGGUAAUUC